rnacentral:rRNA from 1 species
GACGAACGCUGGCGGCUUGCCCAAUACAUGCAAUUCGAACGCAGUGGGGACGGGUGAGUAACACGUGGGUAACCUCCCAUCAGAGGGGAUAACACUUGGAAACAGGUGCUAAACCGCUACUUAUGGAUGGACCCGCGGUGCAUUAGCUAGUUGGUGAGGUAAUGGCUCACCUAGGCGACGAUCCCUAGGUGGUCUGAGAGGAUGGUCAGCCAGACGGGGACUGAGACACGGCCCAGACUCCUACGGGAGGCAGCAGUGGGGAAUAGUGCACAAUGGGCGCAAGCCUGAUGCAGCCAUGCGGCGUGUAUGAAGAAGGCCCUAGGGUUGUAAAGUACUUUCAGUCGGGAGGCGUUACCGACAGAAGAAGCACCGGCUAACUCCGUGCCAGCCGCCGCGGUAAUAC